UACAGAGGGGGCAAGCGUUAUUCGGAAUUAUUGGGCGUAAAGGGCGCGUAGGCGGCUUGGCAAGUGGAUGGUGAAAUCCCUCGGCUUAACCGGGGAACUGCGUCUGAUACUGGAGGGCUUGAGUUUGGGAGAGGGAUGCGGAAUUCCAGGUGUAGCGGUGAAAUGCGUAGAUAUCUGGAGGAACACCGGUGGCGAAGGCGGCAUCCUGGACCAACACUGACGCUAAGACGCGAAAGCGUGGGGAGCAAACAGG
rnacentral:rRNA from 1 species